rnacentral:lncRNA from 1 species
CAUUGGGACCACAACCCCACUCCAAUGGGACCACAACCCCACUCUAAUGGGACCACAACCCCACUCUAAUGGGACCACAUUAGCACUUAUUCCCCUCCUCAGACAGACAGACAGCUCUUAUACCUCCUUACCCCAACUUGGAGACUUUACAGUCAGUGGUCCAACCAACUACACUACUACACUACUACUACACUACAGUGGACUACACUACUACUACACUACAGUGGACUACACUACUACACUACUACUAUACUACAGUGGACUACACUACUACACUACUACUAUAAUACAUUGGACUAAACUACUACACUACUACUAUACUACAGUGAACUACACUACUACUAUACUACAGUGGACUACACUACUACUACACUACUGUGGACUACACUACUACACUACAGUGGACUACACUACUACACUACUACUAUACUACAGUGGACUACACUACUACACUACUACUACACUACAGUGGACUACACUACUACUACUAAUAUACUACACUACUACUACUAUACUACAGUGAACUACACUACUACUACUAUACUACAGUGAACUACACUACUACUACUAUUAUACUACAGUGGACUACACUACCACUACUACUACUACUACUACUAUACUACAGUGGACUACACUACCACUACUACUACUACUAUACUACAGUGGACUACACUACUACUACAGUGAACUACACUACUACUACUCCUACUACUACAGUGAACUACACUACUACUACUACCACUACUACUACAGUGAACUACACUACUACUACCACUACUACUACUAUACUACAGUGGACUACACUACUACUACUAUACUAAAGUGGACUACACUACUACUAUACUACAGUGGACUACACUACUACUACUAUACUACAGUGAACUACACUACCACUACUACUACUAUACUACAGUGGACUACACUACUACUAUACUACAGUGGACUACACUACUACUACUACUACUACUACUAUACUACCAGGACUUCUCCCUAUUUGAAACUAUGGAUCUUUAUUGCCUCACCUCUAACUCCAGACCGUUCUUCAACUCUGGGCUGACCCUUUAACCAGGUCUAAAACCAGGACAAUACCAGGACAAAACCAGGACAAUACCAGGUCUAAAACCAGGACAAUACCAGGGCGAACCAGGUCUAAAACCAGGACAAAACCAGGACAAUACCAGGUCUAAAACCAGGACAAUACCAGGACAAUACCAGGACAAAACCAGGACAAUACCAGGGCGAACCAGGUCUAAAACCAGGACAAUACUAGGACAAUACCAGGUCUAAAACCAGGACAAUACCAGGACAAAACCAGGACAAUACCAGGUCUAAAACCAGGACAAUACCAGGACAAAACCAGGACAAUACCAGGUCUAAAACCAGGACAAUACCAGGUCUAAAACCAGGACAAUACCAGGUCUAAUACCAGGACAAUACCAGGACAAUACAAGGUCUAAAACCAGGACAAUACCAGGACAAUACCAGGGCGAACCGUUGGACCAUGGAUGAUGUUAUCAUGGAUUAUAACAAGGGUUCUUUUUUUGGAACUCUAAAGACAAGUGUCGUUAGACCAGGACUAACUAACUGGCAAAGGAACAGAACUUUAAGGACUCCAGAAGGUUCCGCUCUUUUCCUCAUGUUCCAAGAGGAGUACAACUACAGAACUGUCUGGAAUCAACACAUAAUAUUCCAGAAACAUUUUGUUUGCAUCCCAAAACAGCACCCUAUUCCCUAUAUCGUCCACUACUUUUGAAUUUUGCAUAUAGUGCAUUAUAUAGUGCAUUACUUUGAAAGUAGUACACUACAUAGGGAAUAAUAGGGUGCCAUUUGGGAUCCUUUUCGUUGAAUAAGCCCCUCCUCUCUAAACGGUCUGGGGAUCCUUUUCGUUGAAUAAGCCCCUCCUCUCUAAACUGUCUGGGGAUCCUUUUCGUUGAAUAAGCCCCUCCUCUCUAAACUGUCUGUCGCAUGGAUAAAAACGUGUUUUGUUUUUUGAAAGGUUCCAAAACGUUUGUAUAUUAAACGUUGUGAUUCCUCCAUGUGUCGAGUAAUAAAAAAGUUUGAAAUAAUCUGUGUGUGUGUGUACACCUGUGUUUGUGAAUAUGUAGAGAAGUACUGCUAUAAUACAAAAUGGGCCUGGAUAGGUAUUUUACAUAUCAGUUAACCACAUCAUAUGUUACAGCAAUCUGUCGGUCGAUGACGUGGCACGCCUACUCCUGCUCCUUCCCGCCGGCGCUCGACGUCGAUGGUCUACUAACCAACGGUCCUGGCAACCAUCACACCUGGACUUCAUCACCAUCCUGUUUACUCUCCCUUCAGAGAUGUUCCAUCGGGCUCAAGUCCGGGCUCUGGCUGGGCCACUCAAGGACAUUCAGAGACUUGUCCCGAAGCCACUCCUGCGUUGUUUUGGCUAUGUGCUUAGGGUCGGUGUCCUGUUGGAAGGUGAACAUUCGCCCCAGUCUGAGGUCCUGAGCGCUCUGGAGCAGGUUUUCAUCAAGGAUCUCUCUGUACUUUUCUCCGUUCAUCUUUGCCUCGAUCCUACCUCUGAAAUACUUCCCCACAGCAUGAUGCUGCCGCCACCAUGCUUCACCGUAGGGAUGGUGUCAGGUUUCCUCCAGACGUGAAGCUUGGCAUUCAGGUCAAAAAGUUUAAUCUUGGUUUCAUCAGACCAAAGAAUCUUGUUUCUCAUGGUCUGAGAGUCUUUAGGUCCCUUUUGGCAAACUCCAAGCGGGCUGUCAUGUGCCUUUUACUGAGGAGUGACUUCCAUCUGGCCACUCUACCAUAAAGGCCUGAUUGGUGGAGUGCUGCAGAGAUGGUUGUUCUUCUGGAAGGUUCUCCCACCUCCACAGAGGA